rnacentral:rRNA from 1 species
GUCCACGCCCUAAACGAUGCUCACUAGGUGUUGGGAAGCGAUUCCUUGGUACCGUAGCUAACGCGUGAAGUGAGCCGCCUGGGGAGGUACGGCCGCAAGGUUAAAACUACAAAGGAAUUGACGGGGACCCGGCACAAGCGGUGGAUGAUGUGGAUUAAUUCGAUGCAACGCGAACAACCUUACCUACCCUUGACAUGUCUGGAAGCCUGCUGAAAGGCGGGUGUGCUCGAAAGAGAACCGGAACACAGGUGCUGCAUGGCUGUCGU